GAAGCUUUCGAAUAUGGAGGCGGGUCUUGAAACUCGGGCAGCCAAUGGGCGAAGGCAGUCUCGGUUGCCGACAAGCUCGGCUCGCCAAGCAAAUGGGCGUUUUCUCGCGGCUGUUAUUAAGUACCACACUGUUGACUGGGACGCCGAUCUCUGAUUUUGUCUCGAGGCAAUGAAGCUAUGGCAAAGGCCGGAGGUGAGGCCGCUGCCACAGCACUUAGCCCUGCGACUCCCCUACGGACGGGCUGAGAUGGUCGGCUAGCCACUUCCCAGUCCUGUCCCUACGGGGCCUAAAAAGGCCCCGCAUCCCGGGAUCCGGAGGGUCGCUUCCCUGGCUGCGUCCCCAUUUUGCAGCUGCCGGUCUAAAAAUUGAUGUAGGCCCUGCACAAUCAGGUGUUUGCUGAGAUCACUCCCCACUAACUGUACGCACCGGAAUCUGAGCAACCCACUGCGCCGGCCAAAACAGCGGCAUUAAGACUGAUGGUGCGCUUCUGCCCAGGAAUCUCAGAUUUGGCUUCCUUCUUGAGUCCAUAAUAGGCGACUCUGUCUUCCCGGAGCUCCAAAUGUGGGUCAGAAGGGGAACCAGUCCCAUUUACUCUGCACCAAGAGCUGCUGUGCUGAGGUGUCGGCAAAACUGCUGUGCCAGCCACAAGAGUCGCGCUGGCAUCCCAUGGGACUCCUCUACUGGGAAUCUUCUGGUCCGUGAGCAACGAAAAUUCGUCUGAAAGUGUGGCGUCCUCUCCUCUGCGCUUUCACUGGGAGCUACAAUCUUGAGCUGUUAGCGAUCAGCCAUCUUGGAUCUCUACUUUUUUUUUUUAAUAAAAAAAAAUAAAACUUUAAUUUGAAAAAAGAAAUUAUCAAAGAUCAUACAUGCCUUAACAUUUAGAUACCUAUAGAUUCAUAUAAAGGCAGUAAUAAAAAUAUCAGUGCAAGUUCUACAUUGGGUUCCUCAGUAGAGAAAACAAUAAGUUCUUCGAGUGAACCAUUAUCUUCAAAUCCCAAAACAUGUCAAGAAGAAAGAAUUCUUCUGAUGCAGGACUUAACAUGUAGCAUAAUUUAGUCAAUAAAGGUACGUACGAAGUGACUCAGAAUCAAAACCAAAGCCUUUUGUGGCUUAACUAAGUACACAUGAGGCCUUUCUAAAGCGGUACAAAGAUGCAGUCCUCUCAGGAUCCAGAGCCUCCCCCAACAACAGCUGGAAGAAAUAAAGAUUUAGGUAACACCUUCAGAUCUGGCAGCAGUUGGUCUACAGUCUCUACUCUGCAAUUCCAAAACAGAACAAAAAACAAAAACACUGUGACACCCAAAAGUGUUUUUAUGAGUUUGGCACCAGGAUUAUAUGGUAAAAAAAAAACCCGACUAUAAACAAAUAUGAAGCCUCUAUUGUCUCAGCACUUGUAUCCAUCAGUCACACAUGCCUCUGUGAUUUGCUGACAUUUUCUGACCUGAGGACUAAUUCCAUGGAAAAUAUCAAAAAGAGCUAAAGAUAUACCUAUGGGUAACAGUGAGAAGAAAAGGAAGCAUCUGUCUUUAUCAAUAGUUCAGAAAGUAGAGUUAUUGCAGAUCGAUUGUGCAAUAGAACUGUGUUUUAUAAAAUAGAACUUUUUGUUUUAUAGAACUGUGCUUGAUGGUGGUAUGUCUGUGAGGUGUGUUACUGAAGAAUAUGGUGUGGGAACCACCACAGUAUAUGACUUAAAGAAACAAAGGGCUGGGCACAGUGGCUCACACCUGUAAUCCCAACGCUUUGGGAAGCCACGGCAGGAGGAUCACUUGAGGUCAGGGGUUCAAGACCAGCCUGACCAUGGUGAAACCCCAUCUCUACUAAAAAUACAAAAAUUAGCCAGGUGUGGAGGUGCGUGCCUGUAAUCCCAGCUACUUGGGAGGCUGAGGCAGGAGAAUCACUUGAACCCAGGAGGCGGAGGCUGCAGUGAGCCAAGAUCCCACCAUUGCACUGCAGCCUAGGCGACUGAGUAAGACUGUCUCAGUGAACCAAGAUCAUACCAUUUCACGCCAGCCUGGUGACAGAGUGAGACCCCGUCUAAAAAAAAAACAGACAAGUUGUGGAAAUUUUAUAGUGACAACGAUAACCAAGUACUAAUGAAAAACAGAAAAACAUUGCAUAGAGCCAAAAAUGAAGAUCUUGACUGUGUGUUCAUUCAAUGAAUUUGACAACGAAGAAGUAAAGAUACACCACCGACGGGUUUGUUGGUCAUGAAACAAGCUAGAAUAUUCCAUGAAGAACUGGAACAAACUCUUUAAGAUUCUCAGGAAAUCAGAGGUAAUGAACAUACAUUGCAUGUAUAUGUAAUAUAGGUUGAUUUUCAUCAGUGUAAGUUUUUAAAUUUUACUUAAAAUUUCCUUAGAAAUAAGAAGUUUUCCACAAGUGACAAAACACAUUAAAAGCUUAUGGUAUGUGUGAUCUAUAUCCUGCUAUUUCAUUUACUAAUAAACUUAUUUAUUUAAAAACUUUAUCUACAAAUAAAUUUACUAAUAUAUUUUUGUAAAUAAAUUGCAAUAUUAUUAUGGUUUUGUUUCACUUCGUGUGAAUUUUCUUAUAUUUAUUUGCAGAAAUAGUAAGAUUAAUGUGUUUCAUUACAUAGUACAGUUCUCUGCCUAUUUGGAAUGUUACAAAAUAUGCAAUUUAUAUACUAUAUUCCAAAGGAUUCCAAUUUCUUCCUGAAUUCCAAAAAAUUCUCAUUUCCAAACAUAUCCAGUCCCCAGAGUUAUAAAUAAGAGAUUAUAGACCUGUGAUUCUUUUUCGUUGUGAAUGAUCCAGUGAAAUGAUCAAUGUAAAAUGUCUGGCACAAAGUAAAUGCCCAUUAAGUGUAGUUGCUAUUAUUAAUAUUCUAUUACUCUGCUUUUAAAAUGUAAGACAAACUCUGACAUUGAAGUUAGCAAGUUGACAUAGCAUAGGUAAUGAUAAGCAUUCUUCAAGUUUUAUUAUUCUAAGAGACGCUUUGGCAAUGUGCUGCUGGUAAAGUGUGUUAGAGUAUCUCCUAAAUCUUCAUCCAAGAAUGGAAACAUUUUGAAAAUCAGAGGAUAGAAAAUGUUAUGCUACAUCAAAUUAAACUGCAUGUUGAUAAAAUAUGAACCCACCUAGCUAGCCCUUAUUUUAUUAAUCAAAGAAACAUAAUUUUUUUUUAUCUGCUGCUAACUAUCCCUUCAGCUCCCUGUGCCACAAGCACCACUCAAAGAAUAAUUGAAUCUCUCUUGUGAGUAAAGACUGGUUUUUAACCCUCUUUGUAUAACUUCAGCUACUACUGUAAGAUCUUAAACAUAGCUGCAUACAUAAAAUUGAUAUUCUGUUUUGUAAACAAAGCUGUUAUUAGUCUAAUGAAUGUGAAUUGAUUCCUGCAGCCUGGUCUUCUUUGUUUUGUUUUAUUUUUUUGUAAUGUUUGUUCAUUUAAAAUAUAAGAUGUGUUGCUUUUCUCUCAUUAUAAAAGGCAUACGUCAUUCUUGUAGAAAACAUGGAAAAUACAACAAUUUAUAAAGAAGAAAAUAAAUUCAUCCCUAAUGUUACAACCAGUGAUAUAAUCACUCUUAACAUUUGUUUACUUUAAAAGCUAUCUAUUAUAUUAAAUGUCAGCCUUACAAUGGCAGAAACCAUGUCCAUUCAUUCCUGUUCUCUACCCUGUCCUUGCCAUCUUACCAUAGUAGGCAUAUAACACAUUUAAAGAAAACACACACACACUUAGGGAUCAAACUAUAUUCACAGGGUUUUUUGGCCACAUUACUUUUAGUUAACACUAUAUUGUGAGCAUUUUCCAUAUGAAUUCUAUUUUAUUUGACAAAGCCAGAUUUUCUACACUGCAUUUAGCUUAUCCUCUUAUCUUCUGGGACUUUCUACUCACAGGUCCAAGGGUAAGCAUUAUCCUGCAGUCCCUCUGCCAGAGGAUCUACCUUCUCUAUUGUUCUCACCAUUUUUCCAUCAUAGUUGCUCCUCUUAUUUCCCAUUAGCUCAUGCUGCAGCUUUCUGCCCGCUACUCUUACCAGGUGUAAGAAACCUUCACCAUCAUGUAAAUUCAUAUAUGACCCGACUGGUGAUUGGCUCCCAUUCUCUACACAACAUAUUUCUUCAAUUGGGGUGAGCUAAACUUGCACAGGAGAGACUUGACUUGGAAAGCAGAGAGAAUCCCAGAGGGGAGAGAAAGAGCAGCAACUCCAUCUUGGUAAGUAGGAAAGUGGAGGGUGGGUCCUUUGUCCACAAUAUUAUCCAUUCCAUUCUUUUAGGAUCAGUCAUAGAAAUAAGUCCCAUUCAACUGGAAGAUGCCUGGAGUCACUAUGCUGACUUGGAAAUCUCAACUAGGCACCUGAUUAACAGUCUUCCCCACUGAUACCUAAACUAAAAUGAAGAAUUGGCCACCAGGUGAUACUAAACCUUGUAUCAUGAGCCAAACCCUAGGAACUAGUCUCAGGUCAUUGAAUUUUUGAACAUCACUCACCAUGUUGGAUCAGGCUUUUUCUGUAAUUUGUGCAAAAUUCUAAUGAUGGAUGAUGUUCUCUCUCUUCUCCAAACUAAUAUGGUUUACAUUAGCUGUUCAUUUAUUUAACCUAGGGAUGGGAGUCAUCCAUAGUGUGAAUUCCAGUUGCUUGGUAGUGACUGCCUGAAAUGCAUGUCUGAAAAUUUGGAGCCAUGUUUUGGCUUAGUGUGUGGUGGUCAUUUGUUGACAUCUGCCAUUGGUACAGAAAGUAGAAAUGGCAGAACAUAUGCCAUCUGUCCCUUAUGGGGGCCUUAAAUUUUCCUGUUUACCUUUGGUUCAGACCUUUUGCUUUGCUCAGUUAGUGUAAUUUAUAAAUGAUCUCACAAUCUCAUAUUCUUAUUCUGCAUUAUAUUGCUCCAUCCAUGGACAGGGACCCCUUUUCCUUGAUGUACAUGCAACCCAUUUGUGUGUGUAUAUUGGUCACAAUUAAAAGGCUGUGAUGAUGGAAAGAGUUCUUUCACAUAAACCAGACAUUUAACUUCAGACACUCCUGUCUUUAAAACUCCUUCAAUUCUUUGUUCCUUCUCCACUCCCACUGCUUCACUUGACUAGCCUAAAAAAAAUUUUAAAAUAAUUAAAAAAAAACUUCAAAUGAAAUAAACCCUCUGAUAUUGAUUGGAAUCUAAUAUAUUAGUAUGAACUCAUAAUUUUUAUAUUUUUAGAGACAGAGUCUCACUCUGUCACCCAGACUGGAGUGCAGUGGCAUGAUGAUAGCUCACUGCAGCCUCAAAUUCCUGGGCUCAAGUGAGCCUCCCACCUCAGCCUCCCAAGUAGCUGGGACUACAGGUGCAUGCCACCACACCUGGCUAAUUUUCUUUUUUUUUUUUUUGUAGAGACAGGGUCUCACUAUGUGCCCAGGCUGUUCUCAAACUCUUGGCCUUGAGAGAUCCUCCCACUUCUGCCUCCAGAAAUUCUGGGAUUACAGGCAUGAGCCACUGUACCUGGCAACUCAUCAUUUUAGUACAUAUACAUGGUUAGAUACAGAAAUACAGAAGUAUGUACACACAGGGGAUAGUAUAUAGGCAUAUAUGCCUAGUGAUAGAGCCUAAAAGCAAUGAUACUCCAGUAAUAAUAAGCUUACCUAGUACCCAGAUUUGAUUUUUAAAUACUAUUCUUAAAUAAAAGCAACCAGGGUUCCUUCAAGAAGUUGUUGGUCCCAGGCAUGUCAGGGAAAGUACAAGAUGAGCCUGGAAUAUCUCACAGUGCCAGAAAGUAAGGAAAUGCUUUAACACCAAGUAAGAUUUGUCAAAGGUACAUAGGCAUCAACCUAAAGAAUCUCCAAAAGACCAAAGCUGGAACAAUUUGAACAAUAAGCUAAAUAAUAACCAUAUUGACCAUAGUGGAUUAUAACCCACAUGGUAAAAUAAAUAUUCCUGUCACCAUAUAUUUAAGUAAUUGAUUAAAUAAAUAAGUGGGAAAGAAGGGACUGCUUUUUCUUAGAGUAGAAUUCUGUGGUGGCUAAAGCAACUCCAUCUUGGAUGAUGCUCUACCAUGCUGACUUCUGAUUAACCCCUGUUCUGGGAGGGCCUCUAAGAUUUCUAGUUUAUCUGUUGUUUUUGUGUAAGAGCAGGCACUUACCUUAAAUCCUGACCUUAGGCUAAACAACCUUGAUGUUAUCAUACUUCAAUUAUUCUACACAUCCUUUCUGAACUACCCCUUCUUUAUGGUAAUAUAAGGCCUGGGUCUUGGCGGUCUUAUGAGGUGGGAAGCAGACCAACCAUCUCAUCUUGUGUCCAUUCUGUUCAUUUAGUGUUUCUUUUUUUUUUUUUGAGACGGAGUUUCGCUCUUGUUACUCAGGCUGGAGUGCAAUCUCAGCUCACCGCAACCUCUGCCUCCCGGGUUCAGACAAUUCUCCUGCCUCAGCCUCCUGAGUUGCUGGGAUUACAGGCACGCACCACUGUGCCCAGCUAAUUUUUUUUGUAUUUUUAGUAGAGACGGGGUUUCACCAUGUUGACCAGGAUGGUCUCGAUUUCUCGACUUCGAUCCACCCACCUCGGCCUCCCAAAGUGCUGGGAUUACAGGCGUGAGCCACCGCGCCCGGCCUCAUUUAAUGUUUCUUUCUAAGAAACUGGUUGUUUUAUUAAAUGUUUCUUUCUAAAAAGAAACUGGAUUUGUCAGCAUCUUUCUUUGGCCUCUCAGCUUCCUCAGACUUUGGGGCACGUUUGCCCAGAUCUGCCCACUGCAGAAGAAAGCCAACGAAUAAAGGUAGAAUGAUAGAGAGAAAUAGAAAAUCACCACUAAGCAAACACCACAAUGAUAAUUGUAGCAGAAAGAAUAUAUAGAUGGAAUAGAUUGAUGCUAAAAUCUGUGAGUGAAAGUUUGAGUUAAAACAGAUUGCACAGUCUCAACACAUCUUCUCCAGACAUUGAUUUGCUAUCCAGAGAAAAAUAAUAUUACGGUGGAGAAACUCAGCAAAAACCUCCUUAAUCAAGUGGUAGGUCAACAUCACUAGUAAUACAACAAUGAUUAAUCACAUUAUAUGAUGCACCUAUCCCAUUACAUGAGGAUGCAGUAUCAUUUCUUUGGUAUUCUUGCCAAAAAUGUAUAAACUCAAUCCAAUAAGAAGAAAACUUGUUUGGCACAGUUGUGCAUGCCUGUAAUCCCAGUUUUUGGGAGGCUGAGGUGGGAGGAUAGCUUGAGGCAUAGAGUUUGAGUCCAGCCUGAGCAAUGUGGCAAGACUUCAUCUCUACUAAAAAUAAAAAUAAUUAGCAGGGCAUGAUAGCACCUUCCUGUACUCCCAGCUACUCAGGAAGCUGAAGUGGGAGGGUCACGAGCAGCAAUUCAAGGUUAUAGUGAGCUAUAAUCAUACCACUGCACCCAUCCUGGGUGACAGAGCAAGACCCUGUCUGUAAAAAAUUACAAAAAGAAAAGAAAAUCCAAUUUGAGGGACAUUGAACAAAAUAACUGAUCAAUACUCUUCAGAAGUAUCAAGGUCAUGAAAGAGAAGGAAGGACUAAGAAACUAUUACAGUCUACAGGAGACUGAGAUGAAAUAACAACUAAAUACAAUGUGGGAUUCUAUGUAGGAUUCUGGAACAGAAAAAGGACACUGAUGGAAAAACUGACAAAAUUCAAAUUAGAGCUUUAGUAUAAUAAGUAAUAUACCAAUGUGGAUUUCCUGGUUCUAAUAAUAGCACUGUGAUUUUUGUAAUGUGUUAACAAUUAGGGAAGCUGUGCGAGGGGUGUAUGGAAAACCCACUAUACUAUUUUUGCAUCUUUUUCAUCAGCUUAAAGUUUGUUCACAGUAAAAAGUUAAAUGAUGUUUUGAAAAUAAACAGCCUUUUGGCCACCCCAUCUGAAGGGAAUGCCUCCUUCCUAGCCACCGUUUUCUGCAGGUUCAGACUCCAGCUAUGAUAUGCAAACCCAUCUCAUUCCACACCUCUCAACCUCCAGCCUUCCCCAGGGUCAUCCUUCUCAAUUUAUUACGCAGAAUGACUUGUGUCUCCUCCACUAACUGGGGGCCUACCUUUGUAUAUCAAAAACUCGUUAAUAUGUUGAAACACGGAGUGGUGUAGUCCAGGUCUCUCCUUUAGCAGCCCAGAGGAACCGGCAGAGGUUUCAUAAUUUGGGGCUUUUCUUUCUCCAUUUCCCAGAUCCUGAGAAGAGAAGAUCAGAAUAAAGACUGAUUUCCUCAUUCAUGUGAAUUUUGUCACAGCCACCAUCUUUGGAUAUCAGAUGUUACUAUGGCCAGUUUAGGUUUAAAUAACACUUCUGUUUUCUCUAUGUUACAUUCCUAAGGUUGUUAGGAUCUUAUGAGUCUAUUUAGUUGUUUUCUUUAAAUGAUGGCAUAUCUAAACAUUUUCUCAUUUUAUACUUUCAGAAUAUCGUUAGAUUAUCUUAAAAGCCUCCUUUUUUUUGUUAAGUAAUCAGUUUUUGUUUGGUUUUGUUUUCUUUUGAGAGUAUUAGGAUCCUUCUCUUUAGGUUUCUCAAACUUUACCAUGAAAUGUCAAGGUAUGAUCUGGAGUUUUCAAUUUGUUUUUCUAUUUAUUUUAAAUAGCUCAUGGGCCCUUUCACUGGCAGUUUUAUUUCUUUGAUUAAUAAUAUUUUCUUCUUUAUUCUUUGUAUAUUCCGUCUCUUAUCCAUUCCCACCAUUCUCUCCUUCUGGAACUCCUCUAAAAUUUUCCUCAAAUGUGUGGUGAUUCUUUGCUGUGUCCUUAGGUUUACAUUUUUAGUUACCUGCUAAUCUGCCUGUCUGUCUGGGAGUACUUAUCUGUGUGUUGUGUUCUGCUUCCUGUGGUUACAGAGGCAAGAUAGGAGAUACCACCAAGCUAAGGGGGUCAUCAGCUCAUCUUCUGGGCAUGGAAACCCCCACUUUCUUUUGGUGGUACACAUGCCCAUUGAGUACUCCCAGCUUGUAAUAUGCAAGUGUCCUUAUUUGCCGGAACUGCUUUUGCUGCUUCCUGCAUAGCACAAGUGAAAGGAUGAAAGGAGGAAUGUCUGAUUGUUCCUACUACUGUGACAUUACAAAAAUAACACUGAAUAUUGAUUUGGGACUGCCUCUUGGUCCCCAUAUCUGCUUUCCCCAAGCUUGGAGCAAUACUGAAGGCUGUCUCCUGAUUUACAGGUGCCCUCCUCAUGAAUUUGGGGCAGUAGUUCCCUCCUCCAGUGUUAUCCCAAAUCCUUCUAUCUUUCCACAGUUCCUCCAGAAUGUUUGGUACAUUUACAGCCAUUUGUCUUCUAAGUCGGCAUGACUUUCAAAUAUCACGUAUCUAUGUGUAUAUAUGUAUACAUAUAGCAUUUGAGUCAGGAAAGGAAGAAGACUGGACAAAUACACAUUUGUUUAUAUUAUCAUCUUGAUCUAAUAUUUCUGUAGAAGUUUUAAAAUAUUUUUAACAGAUAUACUACUUUUCAAACAAAAUAUUCUUACAAUAAAGUAAGCUAGAGAAAAUAAAAUAUUAAGAAAAUCACAAGGAGGAGAAAAUAUAUUUACUAUUUAUUAAGUGGAAAUGGAUCAUCAUAAAAGUCUUCAUCCUCUUCAUCUUUACAUUGAGUAGGCUGAAGAGGAGGAGGAGAGGUUGGUCUUGCUAUCUCAGGGAUGGCAGAAGUGGAAGAAAAUCGGUGUAUAAGUGGACCCAAACAAUUCAAACUCAUGUUGUUUAAGCACCUACUAUAUAGCUUUUUGAACAAUAAUUUUCAUAUUUCCAAGUAGAAGGCUUAUUUUAAUACUGUUUCAAACAACCAAGAAGCUCAUUUUGUUCUAAAUUAUCUUUUGCAAUAUAAUAUGAAUUUAUUACUCAGAAAUAAAAGUUUAAAUAGCAAAAGGAGUCAAGUCGCUGAAAAAACAGAGCCACUUAAUUUUACAUCUGUCAUUAUUUUUAUGUUUACAGUAGUAUUUUUAUAUUGACCUCAACUAAUAAAAACAUGUUAAAAAUAAAAAAUGCAGGUUGGAGGUGGUGGUGUGGAUCCUCUGAACAGCCAAAAGAGAAGUAAUAAAGUUGAGGUUUUCAUAAGUGAUACCUUUGGACUCACAGUAUUUUGUUUACCCCAGUUCAUUUUUUUCUCCCAGUAAACAUUUUAGAUGUGUUGUGGGGUGUGAAAAAAGAAAAAGCAAAGGUAGAAAGAAUAACUCUCCAAAGACCCACCACCCAAAGACUACCAUUGCUAACAUUUUGAUCUAUUAAUUCUAUUUCUUUUGGAGUGUUUUCCUAUAUAUUUUUUCAAAUUUUGACUAUUGUUAAUGUCUGUUUCUUUUCUUUUUUUGAGAUGAAGUCUUCCUCUGUUGCCUAGGCUGGAGUGCAGUGGCAUGAUCUUGGCUCACUGCAACCUCUACCUCCCAGGUUCAAGUGAUUCUUAUGCCUCAGCCUCCCUAGUAGCUUUGAUUACAGGUGUGCGCUACCAUGCCUGGCUAGUUUUUCUGUUUUUAGUAGAGACGAGGUUUCACCAUGUUGGUCAAGCUGGUCUCAAACUCCUGACCUUAGGUGAUCCACCCACCGUGGCCUCCCAAAGUACUGGGAUUACAGGCGUGAGCCACCACACCCAGCCUGUUUCUUUUAUAGUCAUGUUCAGACAGUAUUUAUGUACUAUCCUGUUUAUUUUUUUUUUUACUUAUUAUUGUAUUUCUCCCAUUUAAUGAAUAGACUUCAUAAUCCUCAUUAAUGGCUGUCUAAUAAUUGUUCAUGUGGCUGCAUUAUUUACUUAACUAGUUCCCUAUUAUUGUACACAGAAAGGAUUGUCUUCUAGAAAAUUCAUUCCUGUGCUUUGCCUCUCAAACUAACAUUGGUGUAUGUGGCUAAGUGCCAGGAAUUUCUGUAUACCAGAGGAUAAAUAUCUUCUUAGACUCAUAAAUUUUCCACAAAAUCAGAAACAGAGAUUCAUUGUAAAAUAGACCUAAUUCUGAUAUAUUAUAAAAUAUAAUUAGAAAUGUCUAUGAAAUUUUAUGAUAAACUAGGAAAAUAAUUUUAAAAUUCAAAUGAAAUGUGGUUGAAAACUAUUUUGUUGAAAAUAAUUUAAAAAAUUAUAUGAUAUGUGGUUGAAAAUAAUUUAAAAAAUUAAAUGAUAUGUGGUUGAAAACUAUUUUGUUGAAAAUAAUUAAAAAAAUUAAAUGAUAUGUGGUUGAAAACUAUUUUGUUGAUAUAUUUGUGAAUUAUAGAUGCAACCUGUAUGGAUAGAACUAUGUGGUGUCUUCUGUGAUACUUAAUUUUACAUCUUUUGGAGGUAUACAAAAGAAAGCAGUGUCUGUAUGAAUUAGUUAAGAAAACAAACAAAACCUUGACUUGCUUUCACUGAAGGAUUUCUAGAACCGUAUAUCUACAUCCUGCUCUAUUUUAAGUCUGUCUAUCCUUUGAUUGUAUUUUAGAUAAUAAAACAAGAAACUCUUCUUGUUCAAUA